CAACUUGAGAGUUUGAUCCUGGCUCAGAACGAACGCUGGCGGCAGGCUUAACACAUGCAAGUCGAACGCCCYSGYAASGGGGAGUGGCAGACGGGUGAGUAACACGUGGGAACAUACCCUUYGGUUCGGAACAACGCCGGGAAACUGGCGCUAAUACCGGAUACGCCGKSMUCGUGAGGUGCUGGGAAAGGCUCGCUGCCGGAGGAUUGGCCCGCGUUCGAUUAGCUWGAUGGUGCGGGUAACGGCCCACCAUGGCGACGAUCGAUAGCUGGUCUGAGAGGAUGGCCAGCCACAUUGGGACUGAGACACGGCCCAAACUCCUACGGGAGGCAGCAGUGGGGAAUAUUGGACAAUGGGCGCAAGCCUGAUCCAGCCAUGCCGCGUGAGUGAUGACGGCCUUAGGGUUGUAAAGCUCUUUCGCACGCGACGAUAAUGACGGUAGCGUGAGAA
rnacentral:rRNA from 1 species